CGUAAUAGCUCACUGGUCGAGUCGGCCUGCGCGGAAGAUGUAACGGGGCUAAACCAUGCACCGAAGCUGCGGCAGCGACACUAUGUGUUGUUGGGUAGGGGAGCGUUCUGUAAGCCUGUGAAGGUGUGCUGUGAGGCAUGCUGGAGGUAUCAGAAGUGCGAAUGCUGACAUAAGUAACGAUAAAGCGGGUGAAAAGCCCGCUCGCCGGAAGACCAAGGGUUCCUGUCCAACGUUAAUCGGGGCAGG
rnacentral:rRNA from 1 species